rnacentral:rRNA from 1 species
GACGAACGCUGGCGGCGUGCUUAACACAUGCAAGUCGAACGAGAGCGUAGAGAAAGCUUGCUUUUUCUACAAUCUAGUGGCAAACGGGUGAGUAACGCGUAAACAACCUGCCCUACGGAUGGGGACAACAGCUGGAAACGGCUGCUAAUACCGAAUACGUUCCGAAAGUCGCAUGACUAUCGGAAGAAAGGAUGGCCUCUAUUUAUAAGCUAUCGCCGGAGGAGGGGUUUGCGUCUGAUUAGCUAGUUGGAGGGGUAACGGCCCACCAAGGCGACGAUCAGUAGCCGGUCUGAGAGGAUGAACGGCCACAUUGGAACUGAGACACGGUCCAGACUCCUACGGGAGGCAGCAGUGGGGAAUCUUCCGCAAUGGGCGAAAGACUGACGGAGCAACGCCGCGUGAGUGAAGACGGCCUUCGGGUUGUAAAGCUCUGUUAUACGGGACGAAUAAUCUUGUGGUUAAUACCCAUGAGAAGUGACGGUACCGUAAGAGAAAGCCACGGCUAACUACGUG